rnacentral:rRNA from 1 species
GACGAACGCUGGCGGCGUGCUUAAUGAAUGCGAGUCGAACGAGAUUCGAUCUGCGUCUUCGGACAAGGAUUGUUGAGAGUGGCGAACGGGUGAGUAACACGUGGGCAACCUGCCUCCAAGACGGGCAUAACAGAGGGAAACUUCUGCUAAUUCCCGAUAUACUGGUACCACACAAGUGAGUAUCAGGAAAGCUUUUGCGCUUGGAGAUGGGCCCGCGGCCGAUUAGCUUGUUGGUGGGGUAACGGCCCACCAAGGCGACGAUCGGUAGCCGACCUGAGAGGGUGACCGGCCACACUGGGACUGAGACAUGGUCCAGACUCCUACGGGAGUUAGCAUCAGGGAAUCUUGCGCAAUGGGCGAAAGCCUGACGCAGCGACGCCGCGUGUGGGAUGAAGGUCUGC